rnacentral:rRNA from 1 species
GAUGAACGCUGGCGGCGUGCCUAAUACAUGCAAGUCGAGCGAACAGACGAGGAGCUUGCUUCUCUGACGUUAGCGGCGGACGGGUGAGUAACACGUGGAUAACCUACCUAUAAGACUGGGAUAACUUCGGGAAACCGUAGCUAAUACCGGAUAAUAUUUUGAACCGCAUGGUUCAAUAGUGAAAGACGGUUUUGCUGUCACUUAUAGAUGGAUCCGCGCCGCAUUAGCUAGUUGGUAAGGUAACGGCUUACCAAGGCAACGAUGCGUAGCCGACCUGAGAGGGUGAUCGGCCACACUGGAACUGAGACACGGUCCAGACUCCUACGGGAGGCAGCAGUAGGGAAUCUUCCGCAAUGGGCGAAAGCCUGACGGAGCAACGCCGCGUGAGUGAUGAAGGUCUUCGGAUCGUAAAACUCUGUUAUUAGGGAAGAACAAAUGUGUAAGUAACUAUGCACGUCUUGACGGUACCUAAUCAGAAAGCCACGGCUAACUACGUG